rnacentral:misc_RNA from 1 species
AAUCAUCAAACCUUUCAAUUUCCAAAGAUUGGAAGGUUUGGAUGUGGGAGCGUUGUUGGCCUUUUCUUGGUCAGCUCUCCUCAAAUCUAUUAGCCGGGAAGCUUUUGUAACCUGUCUAUUGGUGUGAUAAUUAUCUAUACCAUUGACAGCUACACUUAGUAUAAGCAUUCUGCUUCUAACUGUCUACCUAAUGGACAAUUUUUGACA